rnacentral:lncRNA from 1 species
AUUUGAUUGGCAAACAAAAAUUUCUACUAAUGGGUGGAGUGUGUGGAGGGUUUGCGAGCAGGUGGUUUUCUUAAAGGGAUGGAAUUUAUUGAUUGAUCAUUGAUAGGCAUAGGCACAGCAGAAGUAUGCGAUGCGAUGAGAUGAGAUGAAUUUGGUAGUCUGUCAGCAUUCAGUUACCGUCGGAAGAGUGGGAAUUUUGUGGGGGUGCGACUGCGACAACGACGCCAGGAUUC